AGAGCACAAGAAACAAGUGAAGUCUGCAUAGAUCCUGUUUCUGCUCCAUAGAUCCAACCUGUAAAAGAAAAUGGCUUUACAUACAUGUACAGGAAUAUUUUCUCCUUAGGAUCCUCAGUGGCCACACUUGACUUGGAUUCAGGCCCCAACUCAAAGGCAUUCCCUGGUAAACUGCAAGCUAUGCCAGUCAGAGAGGCAGGGAUCUUGGAAGAAUCGCAACGCUCACCAAGUCACAUAAUGAUUUACAUGUUAGCAUUUGUGUAAUUUACAUGUCAGCAUGUUUGUCCCUUAUACUGAUUACCCACCAGGGCCUAAACACAUGUCCAAGCCAUUAGCAAAUAGAGUUAAAGAUUACUUGAUGAGAACUAACACUAACA